rnacentral:rRNA from 1 species
UACGUAGGGGGCAAGCGUUGUUCGGAAUUACUGGGCGUAAAGGGCGCGUAGGCGGCCUUCUAAGUCAGACGUGAAAUCCCCCGGCUUAACCUGGGAACUGCGUCUGAUACUGGGGGGCUUGAGUGCGGGAGAGGGAUGCGGAAUUCCAGGUGUAGCGGUGAAAUGCGUAGAUAUCUGGAGGAACACCGGUGGCGAAGGCGGCAUCCUGGACCGACACUGACGCUGAGGCGCGAAAGCUAGGGUAGCAAACGGG